UUAACUCGGGUAAGUAACUUAAGCCAUCAACAGAUAACUUUGAGACCCCAUCAGAAGCAGAAGGGUUCUUGUCGCCUACUUGCAUGAGAUUGCUUUCAUUAGGAUUCCUUACGUUGUUUGAGUGCGACAAAUUCACCAAAGCUGCUUCAGGAUUUGUAUCGGCAACAUGAACCAUAUUCGAUUUAUCUGCAUAAAUUGCAUCUACUUCUGUGCC
rnacentral:lncRNA from 1 species